rnacentral:lncRNA from 1 species
GAAGGUCUGGGCUGGGCCAGAGAACAGAGCCUCUCUGACCACUCCUGGCUGGCGCGGAGCUGCUGGCCCUGGACCCCGUGCAGGGAAGGAGCACUCGAAACAGGCCGGUCCUUCCCACCGCAGGACGGAGAAGCAGGUGGUGGGCGCAGGGCUGCAGACUGCAGGGGAGUCUGGGAGCAGUCCCGAGGGCCUCCUGGCAUCGGAGCUGGUCCACCGGCCAGAGCCAUGCACCUCACCUGAGGCCAUGGGACCCUCUGGACACAGACGACGCUGCUUGGUCCCAGCCUCCCCAGAGCAACACGUGGAGGUGGAUAAGGCUGUGGCACAGAACAUGGACUCUGUGUUUAAGGAGCUCUUGGGAAAGACCUCUGUCCGCCAGGGCCUUGGGCCAGCAUCUACCACCUCUCCCAGUCCUGGGCCCCGAAGCCCAAAGGCCCCGCCCAGCAGCCGCCUGGGCAGGAACAAAGGCUUCUCCCGGGGCCCUGGGGCCCCAGCCUCACCCUCAGCUUCCCACCCCCAGGGCCUAGACACGACCCCCAAGCCACACUGAGGUGCCGCUGCUGGAGAUGCGUGCCCCCGGCGGCUACCCGCUGGACCGGCCACUCUCCCCAGCCCCCUUGCUUCUCUCCAGCCCUGUCCAGCAAGUGCAGGGUGCCUGCACUUCACCCUGUGCAGAGAGGUGGGAUGGGGCCGUGCACACAGGGAUGCCCGCUCCACAUCCUGCCUGCCCCUCAGCCCUGGCCCAGGCCCCUUUUGGAGGCAGCUGAGGAAGGAUGCUGGGGAAAGCCCUCUUCUGCAGCUUUGUGGAAGGCUGAUCAGUGGCUGCUGGGUGGCGGGUAC